rnacentral:lncRNA from 1 species
UUUUUUUUUUUUUUUUUUUGCUGAAAAAUCUAAGAUAUUUGAGACUGGUGUUGUAGAUCCUGUGAGGCUUGGUUAUUUCUCUAAGCAUUUGGUUGCUUGUAAUGUGGGAUGCAACGUAGGACCCCAAAUAAGCCACACACUCAUCCUCAGUGCUGGCCCCUACCUGCCUUGUACACAGGGUCUAUCUCUGCUGUUAGGUGCUGAACUUCAUGGUUUUCCGAGGCAAGGUCUCACUGUAGCUCACAAGUUCAUGCUGGCCUUGAACUUAAAAUCCUCCUGCCAGAGUGCUAGGACCAUAGGCACGUGCUGCCACACCUCAGCUCAUUUCAGUGAUUUGUUUAAGUCCUUCCGAAGUAAUCCCGACAUUUGUGUUGUUUUAGGAUUUUUUUUUAAACUUCUUUAUUUUCUUGAGUUUUUGCAUUAAUAGUUUUGUUUUGGUUCAGCAUUUUAUGCAACAACAAUAAAAAACCAACAAAUCGUGAAGAUGAGAGUGAGUAAAUAAGUUAAUCAAAAAUAAAUAUAUUUUGCUUUUUCUGUCAGACACUAGUAUAGAGGGCUGAGUAAAUAAUUUGUUUUUCAUUUCUGAAAUACUUAUAAGUAUUUAUUGCUUCAGACAAUCUCUUAAGAAACUUUUCUAUAAACCUUGCAUCAAGAAAUGUAAGAAUGUGGGAAUAUUGGUUUUUUUUCUAGAAAAUGAACUGAAUUAUAAACUUUUGUUUACUUUACAUUUUACCUUCUAUUUCAUAUACAGUGACUUCAGCAUUUUCCUGAGACAGAUUAGUAGGAAAAAUUUUGCAACAGUGAGUAGUUACUGAUCUCUUGCUUAAAAUAAUUACUUCUUCAAUAGCAAAUCAACUUCUGUGGACAUAGGACAUCAGCAAAAGCUAGGAGCAAGAUUCUUUUGUUGCCAAGUCAGGUUUUUUUGUUUGUUUGUUUGUUUGUUUUGUUUUUUUUAAUGAAAAAAGUGAAUAUUUAGAUUUACCCGUCUGGACUGAGUUUAGCUGGUCCCAAUCUUGUUGGCUACAUCCAGAGCAUCAUUAUCAGGAGCCAAGUGAACAUGCGCCCUCUUCUGUCAGUCAGGCCUUAUCAGGGCCUGACUUUGCCCACAUUAGUCUCUUAGUUUCUUCACGGCCUGUUUGAUCUGGUGCGUGUUGGCCUUGACAUCCUCUGCAGUGAACACAAGCAUUUGUUCUCUGUCUUCUUCAUGGCAGAUUCACUGGUCAGGGGGAAUUUGAUGAUGGCAUAGUGGUCAAGCUUGUUUCUCUGGGCACACUCUUUUGAGGGUAUUUGGGCUGCCUCCAGAACUGCCAGGUCUUGGGCCACCUGAAGGGGGGUGACUUGUGGGAGUCCCUUUGUGGCUGUGGACACCUUUCAGCAUUAGCUUUCAAGGACUUCACUUUGGCCUCUGCUUUGGGAGUGGUGGGAGCUUUCUUUGCUUUUGGCUCCAUGAUGGCGGAAAAGCAGAGUAAACUUUUAACAUAUACUACUUGACUAACUGUGUGUGAGUGUGUGUGUGUGUGAGUGUGUGUGUGUGUGAGUGUGUGUGUGUGUGAGUGUGUGUGUGUGAGUGUGAGUGUGUUUGUGUGUGUGUGUUUUAAUUAUCUAAGCUGUCACUGUUUUUUUUCAUUCAAAGUAUCAUCUGUUCUUUUAUUUUUUUGAGUUAGCAUACAACAUAAUGGGUUUCAUUAUGGCAUUCAUAUAUGUCAAACAUGGCUCUUGUUUAUCUACUUCUCCGCUGAGCCACGGAGUUUAUUUCUCAGGAAAAUAAAUACCGUAAAAGUCAUGACAUAUAUGCUUAUGACUUUUGGACAUUUUGAGCUAUACUUUCUGAAUAGGAUCUACCUUUCUUAUAGAUGAUUUUUGGAGGUAUUUCCCAUAUGUUAGAUCAUAUCAUGCAAAAAGUUUUAAUUUCUUCCUUUCCAACAUGAAUGCCUUUAUUCCUUAUUUUUAUUCUUAGGGGAAAGCUUUUUCUUUUCACCCCUGAGUAUAAUGUUAACUGUGGGGUUCUCUCUCUCUCUCUCUCUCUCUCUCUCUCUGUCUCUCUCUUUCUCUGUGUCUGUCUGUCUGUCUGUCUCUCUCUUUUAAAGAUUUCACUUAUUUAUUUUAUAUAUAUGAUGAGUACACUGUAUACACUGCAGCUGUCUUCAGACACACCAGAAAAGGGCAUUGGAUCCCAUUACAGAUGGUUGUGAGCCACCAUGUGGUUGCUGGGGAUUGAACUCAGGACGUCUGGAAGAGCAGUCUGUGCUCUUAACCGAUGAGUCAUCUCUCCAGCCCCCUGUGGGGUUUUCUUAAUGCCCCUUUUCUUGUUGGAUAUUUUUCCACCUUUCUUUGAAAGGAUGUUGGAUAUUGUUAAAUACCUUUUGAUUCUAUUGGGAUAAACUUGUUGAGGUCUUCUUCCACCCUGUCUUAUUAAAAUCUCAUUUUCAUGUGUUAAAUCAAAUCACCCUUGCCUUCUUAGGAGAGGUCACAUUUGGCUAUGGUAAAUAAUUUUCUAAGAACAUUGUUGGGUUAGAUUUGCUAAUGUCUUGUUUGGGAUUUCUAUACUCAUUCAUUGUAAGGGAUCGUGGCCUAUGGUUUUCAUUUGCUAAGACUAAGCCUUGCCUUUUACCCAUUGAGAGGACAACAAAUUGUUUUUUAUUCUUCUCUGGAAGAUAAGCAGUAAUCUUCAUUAAGAAUGAUUUUGAAGACUUUGAAUCAGAAUAGUACAGAUUGCCAUUCUUAAAGGCUGCUUGUGUUCAGCCAGCAGUGCUACUACAAGUAAUCUGUGUACCUGUUACACUGGCCUUACCAUUGAGCUACACUCUUGCCUCUAAGAUUUUUAACAGUGACACUUAAAGAAGGAUUCCAUAACUGUUAGAGUAAUGAGCUAAUUUCUUGUAUUAACUUUUUAUAGUUUUAUAAUUGCUUUAAGUUUUAUGAACAUCAUUACUUCUAUGGGGAUAUUAUUUGUUUUUAAGUUUCUAGUUUUUAGUCUCGGAAAGUCAUCAAUGCUUUGCGCAAUAAAGUGCUGGCUAAUGGCUUCUUUAAGUUCUAAGUUAUUCCUGAAAAUUCAUAGUAUCUUCCUUUCUGAAAGUAGCUUGUAAAGUCAUGCUUUUUAUACUUUGAGUGUCCCAAAGUUUGAAUGAAUUUCAGAUGCUUAAGUCAAUAUGACUUCUGAUGUUUAUCAUUUUUAUUUAUACUUAAAAUUACUGAAUAAUAUAUGCAGUUGUGUCUGGUCAGCCUCUCAGUACUAGCUGUCUAGUAAAAAGCAUGUCAUUGCUAAAGGUACUGAGGAGACUUGUAUACUCGAUGUUUUACAGUUUACUUUUCAGCUGUACAGGGUGUAACAUCUGGUAAGCAGGAAUUAGUUUUAGGUGGUGCUAGUAAAUAGAACUGGAAAUGUAAAUGAAGAAAAUACC